rnacentral:rRNA from 1 species
UACGUAGGGGGCAAGCGUUGUCCGGAAUCAUUGGGCGUAAAGCGCGUGUAGGCGCCAGAAAAGUCCGCUGUGAAAACUCGAGGCUCAACUUCGAGCUGUCGGUGGAAACUUUCUGGCUAGAGUCCGGAAGAGGAGAAUGGAAUUCCUGGUGUAGCGGUGAAAUGCGCAGACUAUCAGGAAGAACACCCGUGGCGAAGGCGGUUCUCUGGGACGGUACUGACGCUGGAGACGCGAAAGCGUGGGGAGCGAACAGG